rnacentral:misc_RNA from 1 species
AUGGCUAUCGUAAUGGUUUUCUGGAUGGUUAUUCUGAUCUUUGAUUGUGUCUCAGCUUCCCAAGAGAUCUUAUCCAGACAACAGACACGACAGGCGUGGCAGGGAAACGCUCAGCCUCCAGCUUGGAAUGAGAACUGGGAACUCCCAAGACCUCCACCUCCCAUUUCAGAGGACUGGAAUUUUCCUCGGCCCCCAUCAGCCUUAAUUCCAGAUGUACCACAGCCUCCAUCUUGGCCAGGUAUCCUAAGCUUAUUUUAUAGAGAUCAUAAAUCCCAAGACCCCCGGGAGGUUACAAUCAUCCUGAUCAUAUUAAGGACAGACCUAGCCUUCCAGGAACAGAUCAGGGCAACGGUAUUCAUCCACCAACUGAUCCUAGAGGACCAAUCAUCUAUCGAUGAAAACGAAGAGGGUGCGGAUGUCCAUGGUAAUUUUAAAGUAUAA